rnacentral:rRNA from 1 species
GGUAGCAUAGGAGGUUGCUCCUGAUGGCGAGUGGCGAACGGGUGAGUAAUAGAUCGGAACGUGCCCUAGAGUGGGGGAUAACUAGUCGAAAGAUUAGCUAAUACCGGAUACGAUCUACGGAUGAAAGUGGGGGAUCGCAAGACCUCAUGCUCCUGGAGCGGCCGAUAUCUGAUUAGCUAGUUGGUGGGGUAAAAGCCUACCAAGGCAACGGUCAGAAGCUGGUCUGAGAGGACGACCGGCCGCGCUGGGACUGAGACACGGCCCAGACUCAUACGGGAGGCAGCAGUGGGGAAUUUUGGACAAUGGGGGCAACCCUGAUCCAGCAAUGCCGCGUGAGUGAAGAAGGCCUUCGGGUUGUAAAGCUCUUUUGUCAGGGAAGAAACGGUGGUAGCUAAUAUCUACUACUAAUGACGGUACCUGAAGAAUAAGCACCGGCUAACUACGUGCCAGCAGCCGCGGUAAUACGUAGGGUGCAAGCGUUAAUCGGAAUUACUGGGCGUAAAGCGUGCGCAGGCGGUUGUGUAAGUCAGAUGUGAAAUCCCCGGGCUCAACCUGGGAAUUGCAUUUGAGACUGCACGGCUAGAGUGUGUCAGAGGGGGGGUAGAAUUCCACGUGUAGCAGUGAAAUGCGUAGAUAUGUGGAGGAAUACCGAUGGCGAAGGCAGCCCCCUGGGAUAACACUGACGCUCAUGCACGAAAGCGUGGGGAGCAAACAGGAUUAGAUACCCUGGUAGUCCACGCCCUAAACGAUGUCUACUAGUUGUCGGGUCUUAAUUGACUUGGUAACGCAGCUAACGCGUGAAGUAGACCGCCUGGGGAGUACGGUCGCAAGAUUAAAACUCAAAGGAAUUGACGGGGACCCGCACAAGCGGUGGAUGAUGUGGAUUAAUUCGAUGCAACGCGAAAAACCUUACCUACCCUUGACAUGGAUGGAAAUCCUGAAGAGAUUUGGGAGUGCUCGAAAGAGAACCAUCACACAGGUGCUGCAUGGCUGUCGUCAGCUCGUGUCGUGAGAUGUUGGGUUAAGUCCCGCAACGAGCGCAACCCUUGUCAUUAGUUGCUACGAAAGGGCACUCUAAUGAGACUGCCGGUGACAAACCGGAGGAAGGUGGGGAUGACGUCAAGUCCUCAUGGCCCUUAUGGGUAGGGCUUCACACGUCAUACAAUGGUACAUACAGAGGGCCGCCAACCCGCGAGGGGGAGCUAAUCCCAGAAAGUGUAUCGUAGUCCGGAUUGGAGUCUGCAACUCGACUCCAUGAAGUUGGAAUCGCUAGUAAUCGCGGAUCAGCAUGUCGCGGUGAAUACGUUCCCGGGUCUUGUACACACCGCCCGUCACACCAUGGGAGCGGGUUUUACCAGAAGU